rnacentral:rRNA from 1 species
GACGUAGGGCGCGAGCGUUGUCCGGAUUUAUUGGGCGUAAAGAGCUCGUAGGCGGCUUGUCGCGUCGACUGUGAAAACCCGAGGCUUAACCCCGGGUCUGCAUUCGAUACGGGCAGACUAGAGUGUGGUAGGGGAGAUCGGAAUUCCUGGUGUAGCGGUGAAAUGCGCAGAUAUCAGGAGGAACACCGGUGGCGAAGGCGGAUCUCUGGGCCAUUACUGACGCUGAGGAGCGAAAGCGUGGGGAGCGAACAGG